GUGGGGAAUAUUGGACAAUGGGCGAAAGCCUGAUCCAGCCAUGCCGCGUGUGUGAAGAAGGUCUUCGGAUUGUAAAGCACUUUAAGUUGGGAGGAAGGGCAGUAAGUUAAUACCUUGCUGUUUUGACGUUACCGACAGAAUAAGCACCGGCUAACUUCAUGCCAGCAGCCGCGGUAAUACGAAGGGUGCAAGCGUUAAUCGGAAUUACUGGGCGUAAAGCGCGCGUAGGUGGUUUUGUAAGUUGGAGGUGAAAUCCCCGGGCUCAACCUGGGAACUGCCUCCAAAACUGCAUGACUAGAGUACGGUAGAGGGUAGUGGAAUUUCCUGUGUAGCGGUGAAAUGCGUAGAUAUAGGAAGGAACACCAGUGGCGAAGGCGACUACCUGGACUGAUACUGACACUGAGGUGCGAAAGCGUGGGGAGCAAACAGGAUUAGAAACCCUGGUAGUCC
rnacentral:rRNA from 1 species